GAUGAAGAACGCAGCGAAAUGCGAUAAGUAGUGUGAAUUGCAGAAUUCAGUGAAUCAUCGAAUCUUUGAACGCACAUUGCGCCCCUUGGUAUCCCGAGGGGCAUGCCUGUUCGAGCGUCAUUUCACCUCUCAAGCCUGGCUUGGUGUUGGGCGACGUCCUCUUUGGGGACGCGCCUCGAAACGCUCGGCGGCGUGGCACCGGCUUUAAGCGUAGCAGAAUCUUUCGCUUUGGAAGUCGGGGCCCCGUCUGCCGGAAGACCUGCUCGCAAGGUUGACCUCGGAUCAGGCAGGGAUACCCGCUGAACUUAAGCAUAUCAAUAAGCGGAGGA
rnacentral:misc_RNA from 1 species